rnacentral:lncRNA from 1 species
AGAUUAGAUGAAUACAUGUUUAGAUCAGAUGAAUACAUGUUUAGAUCAGAUGAAUACAUGUUUAGAUUAGAUGAAUACAUGUUUAGAUUAGAUGAAUACAUGUUCAGAUUAGAUGAAUACAUGUUCAGAUCAGAUGAAUACAUGUUCAGAUUAGAUGAAUACAUGUUUAGAUCAGAUGAAUACAUGUUUAGAUUAGAUGAUCAGAUGAAUACAUGUUUAGAUUAGAUGAAUACAUGUUUAGAUCAGAUGAAUACAUGUUUAGAUCAGAUGAAUACAUGUUUAGAUUAGAUGAAUACAUAUUUAGAUUAGAUGAAUACAUGUUUAGGUCAGAUGAAUACAUGUUUAGAUCAGAUUAAUACAUGUUCAGAUUAGAUGUUUAGAUUAGAUGAAUACAUGUUUAGAUCAGAUGAAUACAUGUUUAGAUUAGAUGUUUAGAUUAGAUGAAUACAUGUUUAGAUUAGAUGAAUACAUGUUUAGAUCAGAUGAAUACAUGUUCAGAUGAAUACAUGUUUAGAUCAGAUGAAUACAUGUUCAGAUCAGAUGAAUACAUGUUCAGAUGAAUACAUGUUUAGAUUAGAUGAAUACAUGUUUAGAUUAGAUGAAUACAUGUUUAGAUCAGAUUAAUACAUGUUUAGAUCAGAUUAAUACAUGUUCAGAUUAGAUGAAUACAUGUUUAGAUCAGAUGAAUACAUGUUUAGAUUAGAUGAAUACAUGUUUAGAUCAGAUGAAUACAUGUUUAGAUCAGAUUAAUACAUGUUUAGAUUAGAUGAAUACAUGUUUAGAUUAGAUGUUUAGAUUAGAUGAAUACAUGUUUAGAUCAGAUUAAUACAUGUUCAGAUUAGAUGUUUAGAUUAGAUGAAUACAUGUUUAGAUCAGAUGAAUACAUGUUUAGAUUAGAUGUUUAGAUUAGAUGAAUACAUGUUUAGAUUAGAUAAAUACAUGUUUAGAUUAGAUGAAUACAUGUUUAGAUUAGAUUGUUUAGAUCAGAUGAAUACAUGUUUAGAUUAGAUGAAUACAUGUUUAGAUUGGAUGUUUAGAUUAGAUGAAUAGAUGUUUAGAUUAGAUGAAUACAUGUUUAGAUCAGAUGAAUACAUGUUUAGAUCAGAU